AGGGGUUUUGGUUCUUGACACUUGUUACGGCACCGUAGUCUCUCCAAUCAAUACUUUGAGGCACCGCGGAGAUGUCUACGUCAUCAAACGACACCACUGGCUCUCUCUCGAUAUUUAGUGGGCGAGAUAUACCACCAGUAUAUUGAGCAACAAAUUCGUUAUUUGUCAUAUCGGUAAACUGAUUGAUGCCGAGAGUGUACGAAUUUUUAUUGCGACUGUUAAAGGUUUCGAUAUGGUUCACGUUGUUCUUGAAUAUCUGAAACCGGCGCAUCUUCUCAUCGUUGUCCUUGUAAACUCGGCCGUACUCCACCAUCCAUUCUUCAAACCGCUUCAUCAUGGGAUCACUGGGUUCGUCAGCAGAAGCUGCCGAUGGCGAAGCCCACAUCACACAGAGAAACAAGAAAAGAAACACGAGUUGAACUUUCCAAGCCAUGCUUAUGUAGCACUAAAUAUCUGCUAUAUGUAUGAGGAAAUUGGAGAUCGAGCUACAAGAGCUUUUGUUGCUGAGAGUAUGGUCUCAAGAUCGAGUUUAUAUAGAAGUUCGUGCCUUCGAAUGUAGGGGGGAGAAUUAAUGGGUGGAGGCCUACAAGAUGUCACAAAUCGCCAUCAAAUUAAGAUUAAAUAGUUCUGGACGGCUUGCGACACCACGUCAUGUGGUCACUAGUGUAGAUAUUAUUGAAAUAAAAAUUUGUAUAAAAUAAAAUAUCAGUUUGGUAUGAAAAAAUAAUAAAUAUAGUCUAUAUUAUAAACAAACACUUCUAAACAAAAUAAAACUAAAAUGAAAAAAAAAUUAAUCGUUCCAAUAAAAUUAUUCAAGCUUGUUAAAAAAAAAUCGCAUACAUACAAAUGGAUGAUUAAAAUUAUUUUUAUAAUACAAUAAUAAGAUAAAAUAUCAUAUAGUAGUUGAUAUGAUUAAAAAAAAAAACUCACAAUAAUAUGCAAGACUAUAUAUAUAUAUAUAUAUAUAUAUAUAUAUAUAUAUAUAUAUCGAGUUGAGUUAGAAUGCUAUCGAUAGCGAACGGGCUCUGUCGCCAUCCAUUUGUUUUCGAUGAUGGAGCCUUCAAAUCGACAAUCGGCAUCUUUGAACAUGAUUUAUAUCACUUGAAAUACUGAGAAAUAAAAUUUUAAAUCUUUUCGAAAUCAUUUACCUAAUGAUCAAAGGGUUUCAAAAUUUGUAAUUUUAAUAGUAGAUGUGAGAUGUUUUCUCGUUUAACGGUAUAAAGCUAUCGAAAUCAAUUAAAUUUUGGUUACAAAAUUAUUUAAACUAUUUAGAUUAAGNUUUUAAUAUAUUUUUUGUCUAAUUUGUAUAUUUAGAAAAUGAUGAAAAAUGAAUUUGUUAAAUGUUAAUAAUUUUUUAAUUUUAGAAUUUUAUUUGUUGCAUUAUUAUAAUUUAUAUGCAAACAAAUAAUAUAUUUUUAAAAUUUUAUUUUAUAAUUAUACAUAUAUAUAAUUAUAUACAUAUAUAAUUAUAUUAAUUUUUAUUUAUUAUAAUUUAUUAUUCACUAAGUAACAAAAUAGACAAUAAUAUCACUUCGGAGGUAAGUAUACCGGGGGUGGAGAGCUACACUUUUUAUAUCAUCUAUUUCCUACCAAACAAACAACAGAACUCACAGAACUGCACUUCCACAGUUAGAAACAAACAGCUGAAGUGAAUUAAUUUUCACCUAAACUCCACUUUUAUCCAAAGUCCACUUCCACCCAAAGUCUACUUACGUUGAAACAAACAUGCUCUUAUUGGAGAACCGCCAAAAAGGAUGGAGCGGGGCCAAGUUUCUCAUGGUGCUACUACUAUGUGGGCCAAGAGCCAUCUCGAUCCGCAUAAUAUAUUUUUUACAAAAAUAUUUUUAAUAGAAUAAAAGUUUUUUACUAAAUAUUUUUUAUUUAUAUAAAUAUCAAUGACUAUUUAUGAGUCCAGCUAGGAUACUAUCGAUAGCACCAAGGGUUUGGUGCUAUCGAAUUUUCAACCGUUAGAUUUAACUCUUUGAUUAUUUUUACCUGUUUGAUUAUACUAUUCAACAACCACCCACUCUACCUAGGGGAUCCACAUUAUCCUAACUGUAUAUUUUUUAAUUUAAAGACUAAAAAACUAAUAGCACCAAGCUAUUGAUAGUAUUCCAGCUUAGUUCGACCAUUUAUAUCUAUAUAUUUUAAUAUUUAUUCUUCAUUAUACAUUGGCUUCAUAGUACUAUUGUAUAACACAACCCAAUUAUGUGGCUAGGUCGAGUUACAGCAAACCCUUAUUUCCACCCUAGAAUACGCGCAUACACAAUUGCAUUGCAUAAGGAGACAAAUGUUCGAUCCAUUUUGUAAUACUAAUUAAUAAGCAGAAGUACUUGAUCACAGUAAUUAAGGAGCACACUUAACUGUAGAUCUUCAAACUAGCUUACAUAUAUACUCACUGAACACACCGAAACAUAACAGAAAUUAACCACAAUGUCGAAGCAAGCAGCUGAACAAAUGGAUGCGUACAUGCAUCCUUAUUUUAUAACUAAGCAAAUAUAUAUGAUAGCAAACUGCAUGCAGUGCGUUGCUAAUCAUCAUCACUUCCGAUCGACCUACACUGAGCUUCGACUUUCAGAAACCAUUUUAAUGGCUUCGACAUUGGCCCCUGAUUCUAGAGUGGGAUAGAGAGAAUCAAUGGCGAUUCCACAUAUUCCAGAUGACGAUGACACAUCUCUUGCCAUACGGAUGUAUCCGGCCUCACCCCAUCUGGCACCCCAUGAGUUCUUUACUAUCCAAUAUUUUUUUCCGUUGCUAUCCUGCCCGUAACCUAUAGCGGUGACGGCGUGAUUGAGACUAGUUCCACAAGGUCCGUUAAACACACCGCUCUUGUAAUAUUGAAAGUUUGCAUUGGCAUCGACAGCAACAGUUAUUGGUUGUUUCGACACAGCGUACAUCAUGCUGCUUUCGUUGUUCCUCGGCACACGUGCAUAACCAGUAAUAUAAGCUGAAUUGGGCACGCCAUUGGUCUUGCAGGUGCCUUUGGCUGCUUUGUAAGGGUAGAUAGCUGCCNUUGGAAUCGGACCACGUGUUGCACGUACGGAAUAGGGAGUGAUAAGAAAAAUCUCAUAAAUUAUUAAUACCGUCCAGGCUCUCUUGAGCGAUUAGGAUGUGUAUGGUUGCACGUAAAAUUGUGAAAAAAAAAUUUAUCAAGAAAAAAAAUUUUGGUGGAAAAAAAAUUUUACGUCUUUAGUGUUUGAUUUGUAGGAAAAGAAAAAUAUUUUUUCAUGACUGUUGUUUGGUUGAAAAGAAAAAAAUUGAUAAAAAACUAUUUAAUAUAAUUUUUUAUUAUAUAUUAUUAAUAUAUUAUUAUAAUUUUUAUUUAUAGAUUAAAUAUAUUUAAAAUUAUAAUAAAUAUAUAACAUAAUAUCUAAGCUUACCCGAAUGCCACGCCUUGUUAGAUAUGAUGAAUUCGAAGGCUCCUGAACUCCCAGCCGCCCUUUGCACCCCAGUAGCCUUUAGCACAAUCGAAACUUUGCUGCUCCGGUUGAUUUUUUUUGUAAAAGGUUUCUAAAGAUCCCUUUGUUUGAUCUUGUGAUUGAUUUCUAAACCCGUCGCAAUUGCAGGCGAAUGCCACAGCAAGCCACCUGUGCCGAAACAAAGAUUGAAAUCGGUGUUAGCAUAGCUAGUGUAAAGCAAAGUAAUAUAUAUGUAGUUGCCAUGAUAAAAGAAAAACAUUCCAACUAAACCUAAUUAGAUGUUAUUUGUCAAGUAUUGCAGCUGCUUUUAACUUGUUUCAAGUCAGUUGUCAUGCAUAGGGAUGUCCCAUUCUUUUGACUAACACCGUACAUAUUUUGCUUAACUUUCAUAAUAUUAUUGUAAUAAACUUAAUUAAUAAUAGAAAUUCAAAUAAUAACCUAACGCCUAGAUGAUUGAAAUCAAGGUCGAAGUCUAUGAUGUUAUGGUUGAAGUCUUUAAGUGUGUUUUGGAUGAGCAAUUCUUCUUAAUCAGCCAUGUAUUUCUGUAAUCAGUUUGAUUGUGACUUAUGAUCCACAGUUCCGAUCAGGCAAGGCGAUGAUUUUUUAUACUAGAUUCAAACUUCCUUGUAUGAGAAUUGAUAAUAAAUGUCUAGUGAAUGUUUAGAGCAAAAUAAUAGAUUAUUGCGUUUUAGUGGUGGAGUUUUGGUCCUUUAGCCAAAAACGGCGGAAGGCACUUCAUUGGUGAGAUUUGAUCUAAGCAACAUGUUUAAAGUUAACUAAGGUAGCAUUUGGUUGGGAAUAAUAGGGAAAUAAAGCCCUUGUUCUCAAACGCAGCUUUGUAUCGCGAGAAUAAAUAGUUAAUUCUCGAGUUUCUAAAAAUGCCCGGGUAUAGAAGAUUGGAAAGCGUUGUUCCAAACCUUUUUCUGGAAAAGUUUGUUCCUAGGUGAGCAAUAAGAUUAUUAAAGUCUAAAUAGUUUAAUUUAUGGUAUUCGAAUUAACUUAAUUAAUUUAAUUAAUAUAUUUAAAAUUACCUAUUUAAAUCUUUAAAUAAUAAAAUAAUGUAUUAAUUUAUUAUAAUUAAUUAAUUAAUUUAUAAUUAAUAAGAAGUUCGUAUCUAUUUCUAAAUAAGCGUUUUUACUAUACCCAAACCAAACGCAGCCUAAAUGGAAUAGGUAUUGUCUCCCUAAAGUUGCAAGAAAUGAAUUGCAUUGAUAAUUUAUACGCUAAAAUAUUUCUUACGCACAGGCGGUUUUGGUGCUAUGACACUUGGUUAGGCGGCAACCGUAGUUCUUCCAAUCAAGUACUCUUGAGGGCACGCGCGGAGAUGUCUACGUCAUCAAACGACACCUACUGGCCUUCUCUCUCGAUAUUUAUGGGCGAAGAUAUACGCACCAGUAUAAUUGAGGGGCAUAAAAAAUUCGUUACUUUGUCAUAUCGGUAACUGAUUGAUGCCGAGAGUGUACGAAUUUUCGUUGCGACUGUUAAAGGUUUCGAUAUGGUUUCACGUUGUU
rnacentral:lncRNA from 1 species